GUCCUGGGAGCAAGGGCAGGGAGAGCCAGGUGAGCCUUUAUCUUCAAUCAGAAAUCACGUUACAGGACUGUUCUGCCCAAAUGGGCUCAGCAGUGUUGGCUGUGGUGCUGGGAGAAAUAACAGCGUAUUCCUUGGAAAACAGCCAGGGAAGAACUGCAACAGCUUCCAGGCUGGGGGCUGCCACUUACGGGGGACUGUGUGUCAGCUCUGUGAGAAUUCUUAAUUAUUUAGGUACUUAAUUGGUUUUGAGGAGUUCAACAACGAAUCAAGCUUUUCUGCUGCUAAAAGCAAUCAGAGUCCAGGGGUUGAAUUGCAUCUCCCCUUUUUGAUGAAUUGAAUCCAUCUGGCCUUUUCCAAGAUUUUUAUUUACUGUGUUCUGUCCUUGGCUCAGGUGUCAGGCCUCCUGGGAGGGCACCAGCAGCAGGAGGUACCUACAGGGUUCGGAAGUUCUCCUUUCCCAGCAUCCUGUACUCCUGGCAGACUUUCUCCCGGACAUAAGCUUUCCCUGAAAGUGCAGGAAAAGGAGGAAUUGAUUUGGUGGUCCCUGGGGAGACGUUGGCUCAGCCGGUCUGGGAGAAGCAUCCCUGGUAUCCAGGCUGCUGGUCCAGCUCUGCAGCCAGGGAAAGGAGCAGGGAGAAAACCCUACACAGGUAAACCACGUGGCAGUUUUUGAGUAUGGAAUAUGUGGGGCUGGAUUUUCUGGCAGGGCCUGGAAACCAUAAGGGCUGGGAGCUCUGGGGCCAGGUCCACGGAGCAGCCAGCAGUGAAAACAUUCCCAGCAGCGCUGUCAUCCCUGGGAAAACGCGAUCGAUUUGCGUUGCAGACUCUGUGGGGCCAGACUUUGGCACCCGCAGGGUAAACACUGAUACCGGUGUUUCCCGGGAUUACAGCGUGGGGCAGGGUCACCUCCCCAAAAUCCAGAGGUUUGGGCCGUGACUCUGAGGGUCACAUCGCUCUGGUGGCAACGGAAGAGUAGGGUGGAAGGCAGGGGGUUGCCAGAAAAGGGGAAGCCAUGGAAAAGGCAGGUCUCUUUCCUGGCGGGAACGUCGGCUCCCGGUCCCAGCUUGUACCAUUCCUGUUCACUUCUAUAAAGCCACGUGGGACGGGUAAGUUUUAGGUGUUUUUUGGCAGGUGGGGGAUUCCCCGUGGAGCUGAGAAGGCAGCAAAGGGCGGCAGAGCAUCGUUUCCAUCAUGGGGGAUGGGUGGCCGUGAAACCUCGGGAUCUGUGAAGGAUGCUGGGAGCAACGCAAACGACAGGAGGAGAAAAAGCAUUCAGUGCACCCCGAGAGUGGAAAGCUCUGUGUGCUCGGGCCAGUAUCUGAUCCUGGGGAAGGAGACACACGUUUUUUUUGGGAUGUCAGCACGCCAAACCCGCUGGUGCUGCUGGGAAAUGCUGGCUGUCAUCCUUGGAAGCUCAGCUCCAGCCUGCACCUCGGGUUUCAUUCCUGCCACUGCUGGGCUGGGGGUCUCUGCUUUGCAACCCCACCCCAGAUAUCUGCUAGGAGUGUUCUAGAGCUCUGUGGGGUCUCCCUACAGCGCAGCUUUCCCUUUAUCCCUAGAAAAAUGACAAUUCAGCAUCUAUCAUCUUCUAGGGUCCUAAGACAAGCCGAGGAAGUGGAAAAGAUCCAGCUAAAGUGAUCCUCACUGGUCCUGCCUGGGCAGCUGAUGAGAGAGAAGCAAACAGGGAGGGAUGGAGAUCCAGCUGGUGCAGUGAGACCCCUGGCCCCCAAAUCUGCCCAGCCUCCCCAUGCACCCUGCACUCCCCUUGAGACCACACGUUCCCUCUCAGACCACAUCCCCUGGGACAAAGACAGAGCUGGUUUUUAUGGAAGAACCCAGCUUCUUCUCCCAGGGUCUGCACUGACAGUGACCUGCAGCCUGGGACCAAAUCCUGCCGACGCAGGAGAUAACGGACAUCCUGUUCUUGAUGGUUUAUGUGUGCAAGGUGAAAAUAAAUAAUUAGGAACUCGUGGAACGGCCUCCUCUCCUGGACGAACUGUUCCUGACAAGUUUUUAUGUCACAACCGGGGGGAGGUGGGGGGCAGCGCCCACAGGCCGGGCCGCCCCCCCGAGAAGACGGUGCCGGUGGGAGCCCCCGCGCUGGGCCCGGUCCUGGCCGCGGUUCCGCGCCUGCCCCGCGGAACGGCCGCCGCUGUCCCCAGGCCCGGCUCCCGCCACCGGGACAGGAGCGGCAGCGCCAGACUCGGCCCCAACGCCCGGCCCCGGAGCGGCUCCUCCCGCCCGCGGCCAUCCCGGUCCCGAUAC